CGGCAACAACAACGUCUACGGCA
rnacentral:siRNA from 1 species